CGAGCUAUCACUGAGCAAUAGAACACAGGAAGAAUCCACUCUCAUCAGGAGGGGGGCUGGCUGAGAGGCAGCUUCUGAGACAGAUGGUUCCUCUCCUGUCAUUGGCUCGUUAUCAGCCUGGCUGGCAAAACCGCCAGUCCAAUAGUCAAGCAUCUUUUAUCGUGCUAUCAACAACCCUCUCGUCAGGUUUCUACAGUAAAUCCUGCUAUCAACAACCCUCUCGUCAGUUUUCUACGGUAAGUCCUGCUAUCAACAACCCUCUCGUCAGUCCCCAGGUUUCUACGGUAAAUCCUGCUAUCAACAACCCUCUCCUCAGGUUUCUACUGUAAAUCCUGCUAUCAACAACCCUCUCGUCAGUCGUCAGGUUUCUACGGUAAAUCCUGCUAUCAACAACCCUCUCGUCAGGUUUCUACUGUAAAUCCUGCAAUCAACAACCCUCUCCUCAGGUUUCUACUGUAAAUCCUGCUAUCAACAACCCUCUCGUCAGUCGUCAGGUUUCUACGGUAAAUCCUGCUAUCAACAACCCUCUCCUCAGGUUUCUACUGUAAAUCCUGCUAUCAACAACCCUCUCCUCAGGUUUCUACGGUAAACCCUGCUAUCAACAACCCUCUCCUCAGGUUUCUACGGUAAACCCUGCUAUCAACAACCCUCUCGUCAGUCGUCAGGUUUCUACGGUAAAUCCUGCUAUCAACAACCCUCUCGUCAGGUUUCUACUGUAAAUCCUGCAAUCAACAACCCUCUCCUCAGGUUUCUACGGUAAAUCCUGCUAUCAACAACCCUCUCGUCAGGUUUCUACUGUAAAUCCUGCUAUCAACAACCCUCUCCUCAGGUUUAUACAGUAAACCCUGUAAUCAACAACCCUCUGGUCAGGUUUCUACUGUAAAUCCUGCAAUCAACAACCCUCUCGUCAGGUUUCUACUGUAAAUCCUGCUAUCAACAACCCUCUCCUCAGGUUUCUACUGUAAAUCCUGCUAUCAACAACCCUCUCCUCAGGUUUCUACUGUAAAUCUUCAAGAGGUGUGUGUGAAGCUGUCUGAGUGAAGCUAUAUGGUAUGUCUGCUGGUAAUACUGCACUGUACAGCCCUGUCUAAGUUGGUACUUGCCAGGGUUUAUGGGGAAAUUGUGCUUUAAAAAAUAAAAUGGAAGACUACACAAUAGAACAUGGUAACAGAGUAAUUGUCAUGUAAUUUUAAUAUUAUGACCAUGUAAUACUGAUGUAAAUACCUGGUAAAUAGAGAACUGGAAAUAGAAAGCCUAACCAACCAACUUCAAUUGGGGGUCUAGAUUUCUUUACUAGAGGUUCCUCCCUGCAUUGCAGUAUUCUCUGUCCUGGGGUGGGGGUUAUGAUGCUUACUACUGCACUCCCAAAUCACACCUCCUACCACACUGCUACUGACAAACAAUUUUUAUCCAUUUCCACACUAUGAGUUUGGAAUAAUAAUGUGAAAUUGUGAAAAGGAUGAUGCCAUUUCAGUGUAAAAGCUGUUUGAAAAAGCUGCCUGAAAUUGCAGCCUGUUUUGGUGGGAGUGAGAUUUGGCCUUCCAUGGUAACAUCACCAUGCGAUACAUUAGUUAAUAGACCAAUAAGAAAGAGAGUUCCAAACCCCUCGGCCAAUAACAGCUAAUUUUCUGUUUUCCGCUCCCCACUCAAAACUUGCUAAAUUCUAUUGCUCUUCGCUAAGAAGAUAUUUUUGUUGGUUUUUGACAAUUUUAACUGACAGCAAUCACAGUAAUCACAGCAAUCUGUCACGCCCUGGUCGAAGUAUUUUGUGUUUAUCUUCAUGUAUUGGGUCAGGCCAGGGUGUGGCAUGGGUUUUUGCAUGUGGUGUGUAUAUAUUGGGAUUGUAGCUAGUGGGGUGAUCUA